rnacentral:rRNA from 1 species
CCUACGGGUGGCAGCAGUGGGGAAUAUUGCACAAUGGGGGAAACCCUGAUGCAGCGACGCCGCGUGAGUGAAGAAGUAUUUCGGUAUGUAAAGCUCUGUCAGCAGGGAAGAAAAUGACGGUACCUGACCACGAAGCCCCGGCUAACUACGUGCCAGCAGCCGCGGUAAUACGUAGGGGGCAAGCGUUAUCCGGAUUUACUGGGUGUAAAGGGAGCGUAGACGGCAGGGCAAGUCUGGAGUGAAAGGCGGGGGCUCAACCCCCGGACUGCUCUGGAAACUGCCAGGCUGGAGUGCAGGAGAGGUAAGUGGAAUUCCUAGUGUAGCGGUGAAAUGCGUAGAUAUUAGGAGGAACACCAGUGGCGAAGGCGGUCUGCUGGACAGCAACUGACGGUGAGGCGCGAAAGCGUGGGGAGCAAACAGGAUUAGAUACCCUGGUAGUC